UACAGGAAAAAACUUUUUUUUUAAAUUAAAAAUUGAAAUUUUUUUAAUUUGUGCAGAAACAAUUAUUAAUAUUAAGGACAAGAAGACCCUAUGAAUUUAUUAAAUUUUAUUUAAUAUGUAAUUACUAUUAGAAAAAUUUUGGCUGGGGCGGCUAAAAAAUAUUUUAAACUUUUUAAAAAUAAAAUGAUCCAUUAUUAAUGAUUAUAUGUUAAAUACUCUAGGGAUAACAGCGUUAUAUUUUUUGAUAGAUCAUAUUGACAAAAAAGUUUGCGACCUCGAUGUUGGAUUAGGAUACUUUUUUAAUGCAGAUAUUAAAAAAAGAAGUUUGUUCAACUUUUAAUUUCCUACUUGAUCUGAGUUCAGACCGGAGCC
rnacentral:rRNA from 1 species